rnacentral:tRNA from 14 species
GGUAGUUCACUUGGUAAGGCGUCCAACUGAAGAUCUGCUUUCGGUGGGGGUUCAA